UGGCAAAGUGUUUAAGCACUCGGCUGCUAACCGAAAGGCUGGUGGUUUGAACCCACC
rnacentral:tRNA from 1 species